rnacentral:rRNA from 1 species
AUAAAGGCGUACGGUGGAAUGCCUAGGCAAUAGAAGGCGAUGAAGGACGUGGUAAGACUGCGAUAAGCUUCGGGGAGCUGCAUACAAGCGAUAUCCGAAGAUUUUCCGAAUUGGACAACCUAGUACACUGAGAGUGUAUUACUCGAAAGAGAGCCAACCCGGAGAACUGAAACAUCUAAGUAACCGGAGGAAAAGAAAAAACAAAAUGAAUUCCCUAAGUAGUGGCGAGCGAACGGGGAAGAGCCCAAACAGAGUUGCUGCUCUUUGGGGUUGUAGGACUGCAUUUAGAUAUCGUUAUCAAAUUGAAUCAUCUGGAAAGUUGAGCCAUAGUAAGGUGAAAGCCCUGUAGAUAGGAAAUUAACGAGGACGGAGCAGUAUCCUGAGUAGUGCGGGACCAGAGAAAUCCUGUAUGAAUCUGCCCGGUACGUCAUCCGGUAAGGCUAAAUACUAACUAUUGACCCGAUAGUGUACCAGUAGCCGUAAAGGAAGGUUGAAAAGUACUCCGAAUAGGAGAGUGAAAUAGUACCUGAAACCGUGCGCUUUACAAGCGGUCGGAGGGAGUAAUCCAUGACGGCCCGUGCCUUUUGCAUAAUGAACCAUACGAGUUGCUCCUCACUGGCGAGGUUAAGUUCUUAAGUAACGGAGCCGUAGCCGGAAAGCGAGUCCAAAUAGGGCGCUUAGUCAGUGGGGGCAGACGCGAAACUUUGUGAUCUAUCCAUGGCAGUUGAAGGUGUGGUAACACACACUGGGGAACCGAACCAUUAGAAGCGGUUGGAAAAGCUAUAGGUUGACCGUGUGGAUAGGUGAUAAGGCCAAUCAAACUGAGAGAUAAGCUCGUUCUCCCCGAAAUGUAUUUAGGUACAGCGUCACAUAUAAGAAGUUUAUGAUGAGGUAGAGCUAACUGAUUCGGCCUAGGGGGCUUCACCGCCUCAAAAACCCUGACGAUGAACUCCGAAUUGCCUCAAUUGAAAAUAAACUCGUGGCGAUGGAAGCAGGUGGGGCGAUAAGGAGGUCCAACUUGGGCCGAGAGGGAAGGAUAAACCCAGACCUAUCAAUUGAGGCCCGCACUGAAAGUCUUAUGUGUAAGGUUGAACAGAAGCGCGAUUUCGAGGAAGUCUAAGAUCAGCCAGGAAUGUUUGGCUGGAAUCAGCACCAAUUCAUUUAAAGGAGUGCGUAACGAUCACUGUCGAGGUUAGGGCUCUGGAAAAUAUCGGGCAAUCAAACAUAAAGUGCCGGGGAAAUUGUGAGAAUAAAAGGCGCAAGAGCUGAAUUGGUAGGGAGCAUUCCAUCAAACAGCGUCGAAUGGUGUGUUGUAAAGCAUGCUGGAACGUUGGAAAAGAAAUGUAGGUUAAAGUAAACGAUAAACAAUAGUAACCUUGUCGCCGAAAGACUAAGGUUUCCUGAUCAUGCUAAUCAGAUCAGGGUUAGUCUGGUACUUAGGCGAAGCCGAAAGGGUGCAGAGAGCUGAUGUCAAGUUGGUUAAUAUUCCAAACACUUGUAAAUAACUUCGAAGAUGGAGUAACGGGGAAGUGAAAGGUCCGCGAUCUUACGACAAAAUAGAUCGUUAAAGGGUGUAGAUAUAGGUUGAAGUAGGCAAAUCCGCUCGACUUGUCGACACUGAUUAUACUAAAAGGCUUUCGGCUGGAUAGAUAGUGAACCCUAAUCAUGCUCACGGAGAAAAACUUCUAAGUUAUGGUUAUUAACAACCCGUACCGGAAAGCCGACACAGGUAGUCGAGAUGAUAUUCUAAGGCGCUCGGUGAGCCGCCGGAGAAGGAACUAGGCAAAUUAACGCCUGUAACUUCGGGAUACAGCGUACCACAGCGAUGUGGUCACAGUAAAAUGGUGCACCACUGUUUAGCCAAAAACACAGGGCCUGGCAAAAUCGAAGAGAUGACGUAUAGAGCCCUGAUACCUGCCCGGUGCUGGAAGGUUAAGGAAGCUUGUUCGAGUCAAAUCAAAGCUGUGGACCGAAGCCCAGAGUAAAACGGCGGCCGUAACUAUAACGGUCCUAAAGGUAGCGAAAUUCCUUGUCGGGUAAGGUUCCGACCUGCACGAAUGGUCUAAUGAGUUUGCACCAGCUGUCUCCUCCGCGAGCCCGGUUGAAAUUGUAGUAUCGGUGAAGAUGCCGGUUACCCGCCACGGGACGAAAAGCCCCGUGAACCUUCACUACAACGUUACAUUGAUUUUGAAGUAACAGAUGUGUAGCAUAGUUGGGAGACUGCGAAGCAGGCACUCCAGUGUUUGUGGAGUCACCGUUGAAAUACCAAAGCUUCUCUGUUGCUUAGAGUCUAAUCGCUACGGCGAGAACAUUGUAUAGUGGGUAGUUUGACUGGGUGGUCGCCUCCUAAAAGUAAACGGAGGCUCGCAAAGGUGCCCUCAUUACGGUUGUAAUCGUACGUAGAGCGUAUUAGUAUAAGGAGCUUUGACUGUGAGACUGAACCAGUCGAGCAGGGACGAAAGUCGGCUAAAGUGAUCCGGUGGUUCUGUAUGGAAGGGCCAUCGCUCAAAGGAAAAGGUACUCCGGGGAUAACAGGCUGAUCUUCCCCAAGAGCUCAUAUCGACGGGAGGUUUGGCACCUCGAUGUCGGUUUCGUCACAUCCUGGGCUGGAGAAGGUCCCAAGGGUUGGCUGUUCGCCCAUUAAAGUGGCACGACACGUGAACUGGGUUCAGAACGUCGCAAGACAGUUCGGUCUCUAUCUGUGGUGGGCCCGUUAGUAAAUGCGAGGACAUGCUCUUAGUACGAGAGGACCGGAGUUGUAUGUACCGCUGGUGUAUCUGUUUUGUGCCGCCAGGCGCAGUGCAGAGUAGCUAUGUACAGUCAAGAUAAGCGCUGAAAGCAAUCUAAGCGCGAAACUUUCCUCAAGAUGAGUUUACUUUUAAGUGCCGUCUUAAAGGACUAUUGACGUUAAUAGGCUAUAGUGUGUAAAGGUUUCUAACAUCAAAGCGAGUAGUACUAAUUGCACGUAAGCUUUAACU